AUUGAACGCUGGCGGCAUGCCUUACACAUGCAAGUCGAACGGUAACAGGUCUUCGGAUGCUGACGAGUGGCGAACGGGUGAGUAAUACAUCGGAACGUGCCCGAUCGUGGGGGAUAACGAAGCGAAAGCUUUGCUAAUACCGCAUAAGAUCUACGGAUGAAAGCAGGGGACCGCAAGGCCUUGCGCGAACGGAGCGGCCGAUGGCAGAUUAGGUAGUUGGUGGGAUAAAAGCUUACCAAGCCGACGAUCUGUAGCUGGUCUGAGAGGACGACCAGCCACACUGGGACUGAGACACGGCCCAGACUCCUACGGGAGGCAGCAGUGGGGAAUUUUGGACAAUGGGCGAAAGCCUGAUCCAGCCAUGCCGCGUGCAGGAUGAAGGCCUUCGGGUUGUAAACUGCUUAUGUACGGAACGAAAAGGCUCUGGUUAAUACCUGGGGCUCAUGACGGUACCGUAAGAAUAAGCACCGGCUAACUACGUGCCAGCAGCCGCAGUAAAAC
rnacentral:rRNA from 1 species